AGAGUUCUCCCUUGUCACCAGCACAGAUCUUUCCUGUCAAAGCUCAGGCGUAUCUUAUUAACAAGGAGAUAUGGAAAAAUGGUCACAUUUGUGGUUCACUACACCACACCUCGCAAGCUGUGUUGCUGAUCAUAUUACUGAGUAUUUAUGGACGAAACCCAAGCCAGUUCCCAGAGAUGGGCUAACAGCUGGUCAGAAAUGUCAAGCUGCACUGUGCCCUUGAGUCUCCGUGGAGAGAGCAGCAUUCCAAAGCACAGCAUGAAAAAUCCAGAGUUGCUAAAA